rnacentral:rRNA from 1 species
GAUUACUUGCCAAGCGCUUAAAACCCAAAGGACUUGACGGUACCCCAUAUCCACCUAGAGGAGCCUGUCCUAUAAUCGAUAACCCACGUUUAACCUCACCAUUUUUAGUUAUUCAACCUGUAUACCUCCGUCGUCAGCUUACCUCGUGAGCGCCAAAUAGUGAGCAUAAUGUCUUCCCUCAAUACGUCAGGUCAAGGUGCAGUUAAUGAAGCGGAAAGAGAUGGGCUACACUUUCUAUCUUAGAACACACGGAAAACUAUCAUGAAACCUAGUUUGAAGGCGGAUUUAGUAGUAAAAAGAAAUCAACAUACUCAUUUUAAAUUGGCACUGGGGUGUGUACACACCGCCCGUCACCCUCUUCAAGCAUUUUCC